rnacentral:misc_RNA from 1 species
UUGAUUGCGAAUCGUUGUCUCCAGUGCUGGCCAGCUCGCUCUGGCAAGUGCACGUUGGCAACUUUCAUCCAAUACCCUUGUGCACCUUUGGCCUCUUGCUAGCUUCGGUGAGCAGAGGAUUUUUACACCCACUCGAAUGUAAUGAAAUUAUUGUUGUGCACACGCACUAAUAUA